UCAUCUCAUCUGAUCACCGAAGUUAAGAAGCUUCGAAGCUGGUCAGUACCUAGAUGGGUGACCGCUUGGGAAUACCAGGUUUUGCAAG